rnacentral:rRNA from 1 species
UACGUAGGGGGGCAAGCGUUGUCCGGAAUCAUUGGGCGUAAAGCGCGUGUAGGCGGCUCGAUAAGUCUGCUGUGAAAGUCCAAGGCUCAACCUUGGGAUGCCGGUGGAUACUGUCGGGCUUGAGUACGGAAGAGGCGAGUGGAAUUCCUGGUGUAGCGGUGAAAUGCGCAGAUAUCAGGAGGAACACCGGUGGUGUAGACGGCUCUCUGGACCGUAACUGACGCUGAGACACGAAAGCGUGGGUAGCAAACAGG